CCUACGGGAGGCAGCAGUCGAGAAUCAUUCACAAUGGGGGAAACCCUGAUGGUGCGACGCCGCGUGGGGGAAUGAAGGUCUUCGGAUUGUAAACCCCUGUCAUGUGGGAGCAAAUUAAAAAGAUAGUACCACAAGAGGAAGAGACGGCUAACUCUGUGCCAGCAGCCGCGGUAAUACAGAGGUCUCAAGCGUUGUUCGGAAUCACUGGGCGUAAAGCGUGCGUAGGCUGUUUCGUAAGUCGUGUGUGAAAGGCGCGGGCUCAACCCGCGGACGGCACAUGAUACUGCGAGACUAGAGUAAGGGAGGGGGAACCGGAAUUCUAGGUGUAGCAGUGAAAUGCGUAGAUGUCGAGAGGAACACUCGUGGCGAAGGCGGGUUCCUGGACAUUAACUGACGCUGAGGCACGAAGGCCAGGGGAGCGAAAGGGAUUAGAUACCCUAGUAGUC
rnacentral:rRNA from 1 species